UAAUGUGUUCAAAAAUGGACCUUGAAACCCGUGAAGGUGGUGGUUGCCAGCAGGUUUCAAUUCUCAUGGUCACAUCUGACAGAGAAAAGGAACAGUAUGAGAAAUUUAUGAACAUACUUAAGAAUCUUUCAAAUUGUACUGAUAUAUCUCAGGUCGUGGCAGAUGCUAAAAAAAUCUAUGAUUCCAGGGAAUUUUGUUAUGUGCCUGCCCUUCUCACUCUGUUCAAGAAGUUGCCUUCUGUUCAUAAAUGGCCUGAAAAUGAAAACUGUAAUGAGGUGCUAAGUGCUGCCUUCUUUGUGUGCCAGCUCUUAUUUUUUCAUAACUUCCCAGCCUCACCAGCUUUUACAGUGGAUGAAAUGUUUGCAACAGUGGCUGCUAGAUUGAAGGAUCUGAUAGAAUAUUCAUGUGACUGUGAGAACUGUGAAUUGUUGGCUGAAUCCCUGACAAAUUAUAAGUUUUCCCUGGUACCUAUAAAGAUCAGGCCACACACCGAUACCUGUGUCUCACUGAAAACACUCCAGCGGCUACGGACUGCCAUGUUAGGCAAUCCUGAAACCCUGAGUAUUUGGACCCUUGAUGACCUGGUGGAGGACCCAGUAGUCUUCAAAGGCUAUGAAAGCGCAAUUAGGAGAGAAUUUGCUGAGCAUGUCACAUGUUUGAACAUGUGCUGGGUUGUGAAGAUAAUCUUGGACUGCAUGUCUCAGCCAACAGCUCUGCUUCGGGAUUGUAUUCAGAAGGGUGCAAAGAAUAAUGGACUCCAGCUGGACACUUCGAGUACCUGGACGUGGCCAGCAGCACGUAUUGCUGAAAAGGAAGUCAUAGAACAUACCAUGAGUGUUUGUGUACAGGAUAUGACUAGAAGUCAUGAUCAGGAAUUCUACACAGAGGCCUUUAAGGAAGAUCUCCAUAUAGGAUUAAAGAGACUAGUUGCCAUGGUCCUUGGGCAGAAUCAUAGUUGGUUAGAUGGCUUUCUGACAGACACUAUAGUGACAGGUAAAGCAUAGCCUGGGGCAUAGUUCUUUGAUGAAUCAUCAUAAAUAUGAUGGCUAAUGUGGUCCUUUUGUGUAUUAAUGCAGAUAUGUUUAUGUAUCCAGGUGUGUUGCUUGAAAGGUAUUUUGCUGUACUAACCCAACACCACCUAUUUAUCAUGUUUGGAAGCCUAUUAAAAACUGUGCUAUUGACUCUGGCGUUUGUGUCUUUGUCUACUUGUGACUCAAAAAUUUUACCCAAGCAUUGUUGCCAUAUUUCUGCAACCCCUACUGAGAAAAAAUCCUGGAACUUCCUGUCCUCCAUAACUGAGAUAUAUCUUAGUAGUCCAUCUUCGUGUGGGAAUAUCAAUGUGGCCCAGGUGAAAGUGAAAACCAAGACAGGAUACCACUUAGAAUGUGCAAAUGGUUUUGGACUCAUGGGCUUUCUUGAAGCCGUGGUCAGCAGGUUUAGAGACCCCACCCCCGAUGACGUUGAGUUCCUUAAACAACUUAAAUUGUUGCACGAUCAGUUUGAUGAGGUAUUUUCAGCAAGCACUGCCAACAGCUCCUCCUUUAAGGUCGCCGCCUGGUAACCAUGGACACUUGGCUAAAAACGCAUGUGUGGUCCCUGAAUGUUAUGCAGAGAGACUCAGUAAUGGAUUUUCUACCUCAAUCCUGGAUAGACUACUUACAACUCUCCGCGUUUUCAUCCAAGAAGCUUGAGCAGAUUAUGGCUGCAGUAGAAAACAGAAGAAAACAAAAUAUUGUCUAUCCUGAUAGUGAGGAUGUGAUGCGCUGGGCAUUUUCCUGCCCUCCUGAAAAUGUUAGGGUUGUUAUUCUGGGACAGGAUCCCUAUCAUGGGGGCCAGGCCAAUGGUUUGGCCUUUAGUGUUCAUGAAAACUUUCCAGUCCCACCGAGCUUACACAACAUUUUCCAAGAACUUAAAAGGUCAGUGCCUGAUUUUCAAAUUCCCCCUUCUGGCUGUCUUGAUAAGUGGGCAGAACAGGGAGUUCUUCUGCUUAACUGCAUCCUGACUGUAGAUAAGGGACGGCCUGGUUCUCACCACAAACUUGGAUGGGGAUGGUUCACAGACUAUGUCAUUUCUACAAUCUCUGAAAAGAAUGAUAAGUGUGUUUUUAUGCUGUGGGGAAACAAGGCAAUAGAAAAGGAAGUUCUGAUCAAUGGCAGUAAGCAUCUUGUAUUAAAGGCGCAACAUCCUUCCCCCCUGGCAUCUCUUGGUGGCUACUCAUCAAAACAGGCCCCGUUUUUGGGCUGUAACCACUUUUCAAUUGCCAACACAUAUUUAACGCAGCACAACAAACCCUCAAUUUCUUGGAACUUAUAAUGGACCCCUUUAAGAAACCAGUGAGAAUGUUGCCCAUAAAGGGGGCCCCGAUCUCUCGACCAAUAAGUGUUUUUACAUUUGACGUGUUUAACCCCCCGGACGAUUCCGAUGGGUCAUCAACUCCAGACUCAGUGUUUGAGGCGGAGACCAGCCCAGCAAGAACUCCUCCAACUCCCGCCUUGAUUCUACCCUAUGAUUAUGUGAGCAGUGAAGACUCUGAUGAUGAAGCACAAGAACAUGCGGAUAACCGGGACACUAAUGACCAGGUCAGCGAGUCAAGUACAAGUGAGGACUCUGAUUCAGAGUCUGAAAGUUCAUGUGACGAUACCCAGCAGACUUUCGUGGACGAUGAGUCCACCAGCUCUUCUGGCGAGGAAGACAGAGAUGAUCCUUUUGAGUCAAAUGACCAGGGCGCGCAGGGCGGGUCGACCUCUGAGUCUGAGGAUGACCUCCCUGCAAUACUGAGGGCUGCACGCGAGACACAAAGUGACAGCUCUAGUGACAGUUCCGGCAACUCCCAUAAAAAAAGGCGAGUGCAGGAAGAAGAAAGUAGUCGCAUCUUGAAAACCCCAGCCCCCAUUUCUGGUAAUGGAAAAUAUAACUGGCCAUGGUUGGAUUGAAACUUUAUUCAAUAAAAAUUAAUAUACAAGUA
rnacentral:tmRNA from 1 species